GAAAGCCUGAUGCAGCCAUGCCGCGUGUAUGAAGAAGGCCUUCGGGUUGUAAAGUACUUUCAGUUGUGAGGAAGGGGGUAACGUUAAUAGCGUUAUCUCUUGACGUUAGCAACAGAAGAAGCACCGGCUAACUCCGUGCCAGCAGCCGCGGUAAUACGGAGGGUGCGAGCGUUAAUCGGAAUUACUGGGCGUAAAGCGCAUGCAGGUGGUUCAUUAAGUCAGAUGUGAAAGCCCGGGGCUCAACCUCGGAACUGCAUUUGAAACUGGUGAACUAGAGUGCUGUAGAGGGGGGUAGAAUUUCAGGUGUAGCGGUGAAAUGCGUAGAGAUCUGAAGGAAUACCAGUGGCGAAGGCGGCCCCCUGGACAGACACUGACACUCAGAUGCGAAAGCGUGGGGAGCAAACAGGAUUAGAUACCCUGGUAGUCCACGCCGUAAACGAUGUCUACUUGGAGGUUGUGGCCUUGAGCCGUGGCUUUCGGAGCUAACGCCUUAAGUAGACCGCCUGGGGAGUACGGCCGCAAGAUUAAAACUCAAAUGAAUUGACGGGGGCCCGCACAAGCGGUGGAGCAUGUGGUUUAAUUCGAUGCAC
rnacentral:rRNA from 1 species